rnacentral:rRNA from 1 species
GGGUUAACGUCCCGUAACGAGCGACCAACCCCUUACCUUUAUUCGCCAUCAUUGAGGUUGGGCACUACGUAAAGGAACCGCUCCGGUUAACGGGGAGGAAGGUGGGGAUGACGUCAAGUCCUCAUGGCCUUUAUGCCCAGGGCUACACACGUGCUACAAUGGCCAGUACAAAGGGCUGCGAACCCGCGAGGGUAAGCAAAUCCCAAAAACCUGGUCUCAGUUCGGAUUGGAGUCUGCAACUCGACUCCAUGAAGUCGGAAUCGCUAGUAAUCGCAGAUCAGCGUGCUGCGGUGAAUACGUUCCCGGGCCUU